UGCUUAAAGAUCAGUGUGUGCUUGUUUUAUAUUCCAAGUAAUUAGAAAACCGGAGCUCAAAAAGGCUCAGGAAAUUUGUCUGAAAUCAUUUGGUAAGCUAUAAAUGGUUUAGAGCUAUAUCUGAACCUAAAUCUCUCUAGCUUCAAGGCUAUACCACAAGUGUAGUAGUACUGCCCCCUUAGUGACAUCCAAAUCAUCAACAGAUAUGAUUUUGCUCAUUAGGCAAUACUACCUCUUUAGGGCAUCUUACUUGGAGACAAAGCUCUAACUUAAUGCUCUUCUCUCAGAUGGAAAAGCCAAGGCAGAGGGUUAAGUCACUGGACCAACAUUAUAUAAUUUCAUUUAAAAAUGUCCUAGGGUACAGACUACUAAAGUUGUUUCUCCUUCGUUUUACAACAUGAGUCUAACCACCAAAUAGUCAGCUCUACGGAUCCCUUAGAUUCGUUCCCCAGAAGAUAUGCAUUCCUAUAGAAAUGCCCAUCAUGGUCUGGUGCUGUUUGGCUCAAGCCACUGGCAACCAAAAGAACAGCUUGGCAGUUUGUGCACUGCUUUGCCCUGCGUACUACGUUGCACACCUACACAGGCUUUGAAAAUAUUUCAUUCAGUGAAGAUGGAUCAAACAUAUAAAGGACUAGCAGAAGAGAAGAAGUUCAGAUGUCUGAAAUGUAGACAGUAAUUUCUACACAAAGAUAUCUGCCUCAGAAUUUACGGUGGCAAAAAACUAUAAAAAGCCUAAAGAAUGGCAGUAUAUUUUUCUCAGGUAUUGGAAUAAAAGACAAUUAAUUAUAAAUCUAAGCUUCACACAUUAGAGACAGGCAUGUGACUUAACCCGUGGUUCCCCCUACUUUUUUUUUAAUGGAGCCAACUAAAGAGCUGUCAUAAGGAUUAAAUAAUACAAUUCAUAAAACCUGCUUAGCAUAGUUUCCAGGUAGAAAGUAAUCAAUAAAUGGCAGCUGCUAUUACUAUCACUAUUAUUAAUUCCAACAGUUGAGAAUCAUUAGGUAAAAUAUGGAACACCUUCAUGACUUAGUAUCAUAUGGUCAUUCAAAUGUCCUUCAGAUGGAAAGCUGUGAUGUUAUAAAAAUAUGUAAAAAGCAAAUCCAGUAAAAAGGUUUUCAAACAUGUAAAUUUAAAAAUAUAUACAUUUAAGUUAUCUGUAUAUUACAUAUAUUAUAAGACAACAUCUAACAGAAAACACCACAAUAUCUAUCUUUGGAUGAUGAAAUUAAAGGUAAUUAUUUUCGACCUCUCCCUCAAGCUCACCCCGUCCCCAUCUUCCAGGUUCCCCCCUCACCCUGGCUCCCUGUGCCCAUCUCUGAAAUAAUAAGAUAAUUAUUUUCUUCUUCUGUAUUGGAAAAAGUGAUUUCAUCCAAAACUCAGUUCCUUUUUUUUCCCUGCGGAUACCCAACUGCUCCAUCGACAUUUUUUAAUAGACUACCCUUUCAUUCUUUCUUUCUUUUUUUUUUUUUUUUUUUUUUUAUUGGAGACAGAGUCUCGCUCUGUCACCCAGGCUGGAGUGCAGUGGCGUGAUCUCAGCUUACUGCAACCUUUGCCUCCCAGGUUCAAGCAAUUCUCCUGCCUCAGCCUCCCAAGUAGCUGGGAUUACAGGCAUGUGCCAACACACCCAGCUAAUUUUUGUAUUUUCAGAAGAGACGGAGUUUCGCCAUGUUGGCCAGGCUGGUCUCAAACUCCCAACCUCAGGUGAUCCACCCACCUCAGCCUCCCAAAGUGCUGGGAUUACAGGUGUGAGCCACUAUGCCUGCCCUACCCUUUCAUUUUUUAACAGACUACCCUUUGAAUUACCUUGGCACCUUUCUAAAAAAUAUAUCUAGAUAUCAGUUGAUUCUCUAUUCUGUUCUACUAAUCCGUAUGGUCUACCCUUGUGCCAAUACCACAAUGUCUCAAUUACUGUAGCUCUACAAUAAAACUGGAGAUCAGGUAAUAUGUGUCCUCCAACUUUAUUCUUCUUUUAAAAAGUUAUUUUGCCUAAGUUCUUUGCCACAAAAAUCUUCAUACAGAUUUUAGAAUCAGCUUGCCCAAUUCUGAAGGAAAAAAAGGCCUGGUGGUAUUAUUGCAUUGACUCUAUAGAUCAAUUUGGGGAGAACUGACAUCUGUAUCAGUAACAGUCCUCCAGAGAAACAGAAUAGACUAUUGUAUGCAUGCGUGUGUGUGUGUAUAAAGAGAUUUAUGUUAAGUAACUGGUUGAGGCAAGUUUGAAAUCUAUAGGACAGGCCAGU
rnacentral:lncRNA from 10 species